rnacentral:tRNA from 1 species
GAGGGUAUCGCCCAGGGGUAGAGCACAUGCUUGGCAUGCAUGAGUCCUGGGCUCAACCCCCAGUACCUCCA